CAUCUGGUUGCAUUGCUGACCCCAAACCGAACGCACUGGGAACCGUUAGUGUCGGGCAUACUGACACUACAUACUGUAUGUAGUUCAGAAGCGCCAAGAACUCACGGCAGGAAAUGCUGUUUCAGACAUAUUCCUUGUAAGACUGCCUUCGUCCCCUCCACGUCCCAGGAGCUACUGGACAUGAGCCUGGAGUCCUGGGUGGUGACAAAAGAGGCCCUUUCUGAGCUUCUGCCUCUGUGUGAACCUCCACCUCUGCCUGCAGAAGCCAGCUAUAUGACCCCCAAAGGACUUUCUACCGUAAUACCCAUCACCUCAGUUCCUAACUGCCGACAUUCUAGAAACCAGUGGUUUCUAUGCUCGAGGUAGUUUUGUAAAGAAGCUUAAACCUGUGCUAAAUUCUUGGAUAAGUAUCUUGACUGGAUAAAAACCUCUACUUCUGGGAAAUAUGCCCUUCCUUUUGCUUCUCUAAGCUUUAAAUACCGAAUGAAACAUGUCCUUACAAUCUCUAUUUCCAUCUCUAUUAAAGAAAGCAUUUUUUAAAUAACCCAAAAUGCACAACUUUUACCAAGUGACA
rnacentral:lncRNA from 1 species